rnacentral:rRNA from 1 species
AGAGUUUGAUCAUGGCUCAGGACGAACGCUGGCGGCGUGCCUAAUACAUGCAAGUCGAGCGGACCGACGGGAGCUUGCUCCCUUAGGUCAGCGGCGGACGGGUGAGUAACACGUGGGUAACCUGCCUGUAAGACUGGGAUAACUCCGGGAAACCGGGGCUAAUACCGGAUGCUUGAUUGAACCGCAUGGUUCAAUCAUAAAAGGUGGCUUUUAGCUACCACUUGCAGAUGGACCCGCGGCGCAUUAGCUAGUUGGUGAGGUAACGGCUCACCAAGGCGACGAUGCGUAGCCGACCUGAGAGGGUGAUCGGCCACACUGGGACUGAGACACGGCCCAGACUCCUACGGGAGGCAGCAGUAGGGAAUCUUCCGCAAUGGACGAAAGUCUGACGGAGCAACGCCGCGUGAGUGAUGAAGGUUUUCGGAUCGUAAAACUCUGUUGUUAGGGAAGAACAAGUACCGUUCGAAUAGGGCGGCACCUUGACGGUACCUAACCAGAAAGCCACGGCUAACUACGUGCCAGCAGCCGCGGUAAUACGUAGGUGGCAAGCGUUGUCCGGAAUUAUUGGGCGUAAAGCGCGCGCAGGCGGUUUCUUAAGUCUGAUGUGAAAGCCCCUGGCUCAACCGGGGAGGGUCAUUGGAAACUGGGGAACUUGAGUGCAGAAGAGGAGAGUGGAAUUCCACGUGUAGCGGUGAAAUGCGUAGAGAUGUGGAGGAACACCAGUGGCGAAGGCGACUCUCUGGUCUGUAACUGACGCUGAGGCGCGAAAGCGUGGGGAGCGAACAGGAUUAGAUACCCUGGUAGUCCACGCCGUAAACGAUGAGUGCUAAGUGUUAGAGGGUUUCCGCCCCUUAGUGCUGCAGCAAACGCAUUAAGCACUCCGCCUGGGGAGUACGGUCGCAAGACUGAAACUCAAGGGAAUUGACGGGGGGCCCACACAAGCGGUGGAGCAUGUGGUUUAAUUUCGGAAGCAACGCGAGGAC